GUUGUGGGGUCUUUCCACGGAUUCCGUGACGCAGCUAACGCAUUAAGUUCCCCGCCUGGGAGUACGGCCGCAAGGUUAAACUCAAAGGAAUUGACGGGGACCCGCACAAGCGGCGGAGCAUGCGGAUUAAUUCGAUGCAACGGAAGAACCUUACCAAGGCUUGACAUACACGAGAACACCCUAGAAAUAGGGGACUCUUUGGACACUCGUGAACAGGUGGUGCAUGGUUGUCGUCAGCUCGUGUCGUGAGAUGUUGGGUUAAGUCCCGCAACGAGCGCAACCCUCGUUCUAUGUUGCCAGCACGUAAUGGUGGGAACUCAUGGGAUACUGCCGGGGUCAACUCGGAGGAAGGUGGGGAUGACGUCAAAUCAUCAUGCCCCUUAUGUCUUGGGCUUCACGCAUGCUACAAUGGCCGGUACAAAGGGCUGCAAUACCGUGAG
rnacentral:rRNA from 1 species